rnacentral:piRNA from 1 species
UACCGUACUGUACAACUUUUGGAGUGA